UACGGAGGGAGCUAGCGUUAUUCGGAAUUACUGGGCGUAAAGCGUGCGUAGGUGGUUUGUUAAGUCUGUUGUGAAAGCCCCGGGCUCAACCUGGGAAUGGCAAUGGAUACUGGCAGGCUAGAGUGCGGUAGAGGGUAGUGGAAUUCCCGGUGUAGCGGUGAAAUGCGUAGAGAUCGGGAGGAACACCAGUGGCGAAGGCGGCUACCUGGACCAGCACUGACACUGAGGCACGAAAGCGUGGGGAGCAAACAGG
rnacentral:rRNA from 1 species